rnacentral:rRNA from 1 species
UUAAAAAGCUCGUAGUUGGAUUUCUGUUGAGGAUGACCGGUCCGCUCUUUGAGCGCGUAUCUGGUUCAGCCUUGGCAUCCUCUUGGGGAACGCUACUGUGCUUGAUUGCAUGGGGCGGUAUUCAAGACUUUUACUUUGAGGAAAUUAGAGUGUUCACUGCAAGCGUUAGCAAUUGAAUACAUUAGCAUGGAAUAAUAAUAUAGGACCUUGGUACUAUUUUGUUGGUUUCUAGAACUAAGGUAAUGAUUAAUAGGGACAAUUGGGGGCAUUCGUAUUAACGCGUCAGAGGUGGAAUUCUUAGAUUGCGUUACGACGAACUACUGCGAAAGCAUUUGCCAAGGAUGUUUUCAUUGAUCAAGAACGAAAGUAUGGGGAUCGAAGACGCUUAGAUACCGUCGUAGUCUAUACCAUAAACUAUGCCAACUAGAGAUUGGAGGUCGUUCUCUUUAUGACUCCUUCAGCACCUUAUGAGAAAUCAAAGUCUUUGGGUUCCGGGGGGAGUAUGGUCGCAAGGCUGAAACUUAAAGGAAUUGACGGAAGGGCACCACCAGGAGUGGAGCCUGCGGCUUAAUUUGACUCAACACGGGAAAACUUACCAGGUCAGACAUAGUAAAGAUUGACAGAUUGAUAGCUCUUUCU